CAGUCGCCACGGUAAUACGUAGGGUGCAAGCGUUAAUCGGAAUUACCGGGCGUAAAGCGUGCGCAGGCGGUUUGUUAAGACAGAUGUGAAAUCCCCGGGCUCAACCUGGGAACUGCAUUUGUGACUGGCAAGCUAGAGUGUGUCAGAGGAUGGUGGAAUUCCCGGUGUAGCGGUGAAAUGCGUAGAGAUCGGGAGGAACAUCAGUGGCGAAGGCGGCCAUCUGGGACAACACUGACGCUGAGGCACGAAAGCGUGGGGAGCAAACAGGAUUAGAUACCCCUGUAGUCCCUGUCUCUUAUAA
rnacentral:rRNA from 1 species